rnacentral:rRNA from 1 species
GAUGAACGCUGGCGGCGUGCCUAAUACAUGCAAAUCGAGCGAACGGACGAGAAGCUUGCUUCUCUGAUGUUAGCGGCGGACGGGUGAGUAACACGUGGAUAACCUACCUAUAAGACUGGGAUAACUUCGGGAAACCGGAGCUAAUACCGGAUAAUAUUUUGAACCGCAUGGUUCAAAAGUGAAGGACGGUCUUGCUGUCACUUAUAGAUGGAUCCGCGCUGCAUUAGCUAGUUGGUAAGGUAACGGCUUACCAAGGCAACGAUGCAUAGCCGACCUGAGAGGGUGAUCGGCCACACUGGAACUGAGACACGGUCCAGACUCCUACGGGAGGCAGCAGUAGGGAAUCUUCCGCAAUGGGCGAAAGCCUGACGGAGCAACGCCGCGUGAGUGAUGAAGGUCUUCGGAUCGUAAAACUCUGUUAUUAGGGAAGAACAUAUGUGUAAGUAACUGUGCACAUCUUGACGGUACCUAAUCAGAAAGCCACGGCUAACUACGUG